rnacentral:rRNA from 1 species
GGCCCGGCUGGGUGGUCUGCCUAUUGGUAUGUACUGCUCGGCUGGGCCUUUCCUUCCAGGGAACUAGUUUGCGCUUUAUUGCGUGAGCUAGGGAACUGGAACUUUUACUUUGAAAAAAUUAGAGUGUUUAAAGCAAGCGUACGCUUGAAUACAUUAGCAUGGAAUAAUGAAAUAGGGCUU